AACGCACGAGACCUGCGGACCUGCGGAGGGAUCAUUAUUGAAUAAACAUGAUGGGUUGUAGCUGGCUUCUGGAGGAGCAUGUGCACAUCCAUUGUCUUUAUACAUCCACCUGUGCACCCUCUGUAGUCUUGGGGAAGGAUAGUGGCUCACACUCGAUUGACUUGUCCAUCGGAUUAUGAGGAAUGCCAUAUGUGACUUUCCUUGAUGGCCAUGAUUCUUCUUUUCCCAAGUCUAUGACCU
rnacentral:misc_RNA from 1 species